CGUUGAGGUGACGAGAAUUUAAUCGGAAUCAUAAUAUGUCGAUUCAACAAAUCAGACUACAAUUAUCUGAUCAACG